UCGACUACGGAUGCUUGAUGCCAAAUAUUUCUAUUUCGAUUAAUUAAUUUCACUCGUUUCUUUCAAAAAUCAUC
rnacentral:rRNA from 1 species